rnacentral:rRNA from 1 species
AUAUGAACCGUUAUAACCGGCGAUACCCGAAUGGGGAAACCCAGUGUGACUCGUCACACUAUCAUUAACUGAAUCCAUAGGUUAAUGAGGCGAACCGGGGGAACUGAAACAUCUAAGUACCCCGAGGAAAAGAAAUCAACCGAGAUUCCCCCAGUAGCGGCGAGCGAACGGGGAGGAGCCCAGAGCCUGAAUCAGCAUGUGUGUUAGUGGAAGCGUCUGGAAAGGCGCGCGAUACAGGGUGACAGCCCCGUACACAAAAGCGCAUGUGCUGUGAGCUCGAUGAGUAGGGCGGGACACGUGGUAUCCUGUCUGAAUAUGGGGGGACCAUCCUCCAAGGCUAAAUACUCCUGACUGACCGAUAGUGAACCAGUACCGUGAGGGAAAGGCGAAAAGAACCCCGGCGAGGGGAGUGAAAAAGAACCUGAAACCGUGUACGUACAAGCAGUGGGAGCACCCUUUGGGGUGUGACUGCGUACCUUUUGUAUAAUGGGUCAGCGACUUAUAUUCUGUAGCAAGGUUAACCGAAUAGGGGAGCCGGAGGGAAACCGAGUCUUAAUUGGGCGUUAAGUUGCAGGGUAUAGACCCGAAACCCGGUGAUCUAGCCAUGGGCAGGUUGAAGGUUGGGUAACACUAACUGGAGGACCGAACCGACUAAUGUUGAAAAAUUAGCGGAUGACCUGUGGCUGGGGGUGAAAGGCCAAUCAAACCGGGAGAUAGCUGGUUCUCCCCGAAAGCUAUUUAGGUAGCGCCUCGUGAAUUCAUCUCCGGGGGUAGAGCACUGUUUCGGCUAGGGGGCCAUCCCGGCUUACCAACCCGAUGCAAACUGCGAAUACCGGAGAAUGUUAUCACGGGAGACACACGGCGGGUGCUAACGUCCGUCGUGAAGAGGGAAACAACCCAGACCGCCAGCUAAGGUCCCAAAGUCAUGGUUAAGUGGGAAACGAUGUGGGAAGGCCCAGACAGCCAGGAUGUUGGCUUAGAAGCAGCCAUCAUUUAAAGAAAGCGUAAUAGCUCACUGGUCGAGUCGGCCUGCGCGGAAGAUGUAACGGGGCUAAACCAUGCACCGAAGCUGCGGCAGCGACACUCAGGUGUUGUUGGGUAGGGGAGCGUUCUGUAAGCCUGCGAAGGUGGCCUGUGAGGGUUGCUGGAGGUAUCAGAAGUGCGAAUGCUGACAUAAGUAACGAUAAAGCGGGUGAAAAGCCCGCUCGCCGGAAGACCAAGGGUUCCUGUCCAACGUUAAUCGGGGCAGGGUGAGUCGACCCCUAAGGCGAGGCCGAAAGGCGUAGUCGAUGGGAAACGGGUUAAUAUUCCCGUACUUGGUGUUACUGCGAAGGGGGGACGGAGAAGGCUAUGUUGGCCGGGCGACGGUUGUCCCGGUUUAAGCGUGUAGGUGUGUGUUCCAGGUAAAUCCGGUU